rnacentral:rRNA from 1 species
UGGGCAACCUGCCCCAGACACAGGGAUAACCCCGGGAAACCGGGGCUAAUACCGGAUACUCCGGUCGAACCGCAUGGCUCGAUCGGGAAAGCUCCGACGGUCUGGGAUGGGCCCGCGGCCUAUCAGCUUGUUGGUGGGGUGAUGGCCUACCAAGGCGACGACGGGUAGCCGGCCUGAGAGGGUGUCCGGCCACACUGGGACUGAGAUACGGCCCAGACUCCUACGGGAG